GCUUCAUUGUGGUUGGGGUCAGGUCUUCUUUUUUUGGUCUGAUUAAAGCUCUUUUCCUGCCGCUGCUCUUGGUUCAGCCAACGUUAAAACAAGUGUCACUAAAACAGCCACAGCGCCCCCUAUUGUUUACAUUGUUUAAUCAGAGUAUUGCACACUGUAUCGUUUUUAGGAUACGUCCUUACAUCCCUAUCGCUCUCUGCUACUGAUUCUCUCUUUCUCUUUGCAGGGAGACUGCAGGCACCAUCAGUCCAGACAGUAUGUUGAAGAAAAGCCUGCUCCCAGGCCCCUCCCUCUCCCCCUCCUCCUACGCCUGCUCCUCCGCCUGCUCCUCGUCCUCCUUCAGCUCAGAGAAUCCUUAUCGGCAGAGGCAGCUCCCGCUACGCGGCAGAGGCUCUCACGCUGAGGAGACGUCUGCUCUCGUCUCACCACACAAACACUCCAUUUCUAGAGGUGCUGACGGACGGUUUGCUCUCCCACUAUCUGAUGAUUGCACUCACAGUUUGAGGAGUGUGAGGAGCUCAGAGCAGAGCGGCGAGGAUGAGAGAACGCUGCCCUUUGUGGUGUCUGUAGACCUCCCCCCGUACCAGUUAAACGCUCAACAAUACGCGUCCUGUAGUGGUCCAAAAGGCUUCUCUGAUCUAAGCAGUACCUUACCUCGCUACCACAGAGAGGCCACGCCCACGCCCACCUUUCCGGUGCUCCCCCACCUGCGGGGUGCCCUAGGUCGGCCCUCGACCACCGUUAGUACGCUGGUGCUGCAGAUGGAGGAGGAGCGGGAGAGGAAGAACCUGAGCCGCUGUCUGCAGCUAGCCCAGGAGAGGGAGGAGCUAGAGCGCCAACUGCACAGGUACAGCCUGGGCCGGGAGUCCCUGAGGAGCCACACCCUCCCACGUGGACACGCCCCCCAAACAACCCCACCCCCUGAUGAAGGAUCAACGCUCCCACGUCGUCCCUUAAAGCGUCACAAACAGGAAGAAGCUGCAGAAAGCAGGAAGAACCACGGGAGGCCCCGCCCACACACUCCCGACACAGACACAUGUUUGGAGAUGUCUGUGGAUGAACCAGGAGAAGUUCUGCUGGUGAGAGACCGCGGCUCUCCUGACAGACGUAGGAGGACGUGGACCUCCAGGGUCACGGAUCCUCUGCAGCCCGUGGACCACUGGAGACCCCUAGUGUGGGAGUCAAAGAGGCGGAGUCAGAGUCUGGACUUAAGGAGACAGAGGAGAGGUCUUUUCCUGACUCCAGACGCCUGGAUCCACUCCCUGAGCCAGGAGAACUUCUCAUGGUGGAGACCUCCGAGCUCAGCUGAUCCAGCUCCAGGAACCAGUCCAGGAAUCAGCCCAGAGGGCCCCACACCACAGGAGGUCCCUGGUUCUUCUGUGCCCGUGAGGAACCAGGCCAGAUCUGGUCCUCAGGAGUCUGCUAGCAGCUACAGCAGCUAUGCUAGCAGUGGUAGAGGUAGCAUGGAGCCGACCAAUCACGGACUCUCUCCCUCUCGCCUCUCUCCGGCCCUCAGAGGGUCAGCAGACCCCCAGGGGGGCCCCCACAUGGAAAUGAAGCAGAGGUAGAAGAUCUCAGAUUACCUUCACAUUUAAACGUUUUUAACCAAACGUUUCAGGACUUAGUCUCUCUGUCGCUUAGUUUAAUGUAUGUUUAAAGGUGAUGCUAACGUGCUAACGUGCUAACCUUGCUCCACAGGAGGAAGACCUCAGUGGACGAAAACUAUGAGUGGGAUUCAACGGACAUCAGCACACACACUGGAGAGAAGGAUGGUAGGACACACACACACACACACACACACACACACACACACACACACACACACACACACACACACACACACACACACACACACACACACACACACACACAAAGCAGUUGUUCAGUCCUGAUUGUUUUUUGUUGUGUUUAUCUAUUUGUGAAUUUGUGUGUAUAAAGUGAUGUUCUACUAAUUGUGUGUGUGUGUCUUUGUAAAACUUUAG
ensembl:lncRNA